GCCUCUGUAGUUUAAUGGUAGAACGAAUUCCUUGUGAGUAUUAGACCCUGGUUCAAUUCCAGGCGGAGGCU
rnacentral:tRNA from 1 species